UUUGCUGUAAUGUUACAUCAUUUAUCCAACAUCCUUUGAAAGAAAUGCACAUAAAUCGAAAUGUGAAGAGGAUGUUCAUGUGGUGUAUGCUCCUGUCACUAUAAGAGAAGAUGAUCUUAAACCUCUUCUAGUAUCAGAUCCAGCUGUGUCCUCGUCUUCACCAGGAAUCUCCCGCCAUAACUUCAGAUUCUAAGUCAAUGGUUGAGUUUUAGGAUUAGUGAGAAUCACCACAUAUAUCUGUAUGUUGGCUCCAA